rnacentral:rRNA from 1 species
CGGCGUGAAGAAGCAUGCAGUCGAAUGGGUUUUAGACCCAUGGCAGAACGAAGGUAGGAGCACGUAUGCGUCAUCAAACCCCAAAGUCAGGGAUAAUCUGUCGAAAGGCAGGAUAAUACUUGAUAGUCUCUUCGGAGUAAAGAUUUAUCGCUUUGGGAUUGGCCUGCGUUCUAUCAGCUUGUUGGUAAGGUAACGGCUUACCAAGGCUACGACGGAUAGGGGAGGUGAGAGCCUGACCCCCACCGAUGGAACUGCGACACGGUCCAUACUCCUACGGGAGGCCGCAGUCGAGAAUCUUCCGCAAUGGACGAAAGUCUGACGGAGCGACGCCGCGUGGUGGAUGAAGCAUUUCGGUGCGUAAACACCUUUUAUGAGUGAAGAAGUAUAUUGACAUUAGCUCAUGAAUAAGGGGCUCCCAACUCUGUGCCAGCAGGAGCGGUAAUACAGAGGCCCCAAGCGUUAUCCGGAUUCACUGGGCGUAAAGGGUGCGUAGGCGGUUAUAUUAGUCAGGUGUUAAAUCCUUGGGCUCAACCCAAGAAUCGCAUUUGAAACGGUAUAACUAGAAGUAGUCAGAGGCUAGCAGAGCUCUCGGUGUAGGGGUGAAAUCCGUUGAUAUCGAGGGAAAUACCAAAUGCGAAGGCAGCUAGCUGGGGCUCACUUGACGCUGAGGCACGAAAGCGUGGGUAGCGAACGGGAUUAGAUACCCCGGUAGUCCACGC